CUCAUAAUGCUGUAGUAAUAAACAAUCCCUGAAUCCUGGGAUAUUCAUGUAAUCGAAUGUACCUCUUACUCACUCAACGUUUGACAAGUCAUUCCAGCAAUGUCAAUUUGGAAAGCUCUGGCCCGUCUAGUUGAUCUUUGGAGGACCUGCCCAGCUGAGGGUUGAGUCCUUUUCCUGACUUUUUGAAGAGGCACCAUUUUCCCCCAACCUGCUCUCCGCUUUGAGAGGCAAGGGGCGUUGUGCAUGGAGGAGUGAGCAACUCAGUGCCGUGGUGUUCAUGUAAAAGAGACAUUUACAGUCCUUUUGGCACUGGGAAUAUAAUGGCCAGUUUCUAGGAACUGGCAGCUUGGGCCGCCUCAAACCAAGUCUUACCUGCUCAUUCAUGAUUGUGGAGAGUUCGCUGAGCAUGUCCUUAUAAUGCGACCGCAGCUCUUCCUGGUACUCCAGCUGAUCCUCCUUGAUGAGCCGCUCAUUCACGUCGAGGGCCUGCCCACACGCAUCUGCAAAUUGCCUUCAGAGACAGCAAGAAGCAAAUUACCAGCUAGCCCUAGAAACUGGCUGCUCAAGGUCAGGCUGCUGAGAGACUGCCACCUGCAAGAGGUUUGGUCAGGUGGCUCCUGCCCAAGGGAGCUCUAGAACAUUCCAACAAAGAAAAACUUACCUGAAGAUUUCCUUCAAAAGUUUUACUUGGUUGUCAGGGUAUCUCUUUGCAUUGGUCUCUUCAAGAAAAGCUCGCGCAUAGGCCAUUGGCCCAGCAUUAACCUAAUGGGGAGAAGAGAAUUGGUUGAGGGCGAUCCCAUUUCCUCCUUGGAUGGUGCCUUCUCCAGAGCUGAAGGAGUAGCACCAAUCACUCAGCACCCAAAUCCUCUCACAGAGCCUGUCUUUAUCUGCUGUCCCUCAACUCAGUGGUCAGUAAGCUCCUGAAGGAGGCAUCUGAGUGCUGCACUUCACGGCCACCCCUUUUCAAACUGUCACUUGCCCAUUGUUUCACAUUUUCAUCUGCACUCGGCUUGCAACGUUACAUUCUUAAUAUCUUUGGAAACUAGGCUCAUUUUCAUUUACUGAAAUAAAUUUAAUUUUAACAUCCAUGGAA